UCUGUGAUUUGUCUUGCAGCCUGAACUGCUAUGAGAGCUGUUAUUAAUAAUUACUCAACACCUUCUGACCAAUCAGAAUCAAACAUAUAAUAUUGCUGUGGUAUCAAUAGUGCUAUAAUCAUUUAUAGCAUAAGAUAUAAUGUGAUUGUAGUGAGUUCUACACAGAAUUUGUAAUGAUGUUUAUUUCUAAAUUUGGACAGAUAUGACAGAAGACUAUGAUGACGCAGUUCCCACUGGAAUAAUCCCAAAUACUAUAACAGACACACUAGAGGACUAUGAUGACGUCAUCACUGCUGGACAAGAUGUAGAAGAUGCAGAAGAUUAUGAUGACGUGGAACAGCUUCAGAAAGACUGAGAAAUACCCCCAAAUGCAUUUUCUCAGGAAAUUACCUUGAGAAUUCAAUGAACUUAACAGAUACUUUCAAUUUACCAUAGCUCUCAGUUCAUAUCAUUGUAUGCUUCCUGAACAUUUCUCACUUCAACUUUAGAUAUAGUAUCUAAAAUUUUGUAACUAUGGACAAAACAACUCUAGUUUUGUUUACCGAAAUGUCACCAAAUUUCAUUUAUAUUCUCUUUGAAUCAGAUUUAGUAAAGUCACUUGUUAAAAAUCUUCACAUGGCUACACUGAAUAAUGUUAUUUAGAAAGAAAAUUGUACACAGCUCAUUUAUGCAGCCAAUUAGCCUAUUAAAGCCUGAUUUGGUGUUUUGAUGAUGAUGAUGAUGAUGAUGGUGUUGCUUGCUCCAGACAUGUCGCUCCAAAAUCUCCCAUAGGUGUUCAUUUGGGUUGAGUUCUGUUUACUGUGAAGGCCAUAGCAUAUGAUUUACAUAAUUUCCAUCCUCAUAAAACCAUUCAGUGAGCCCCGUGGAUGGGGGCGGACCACUCUGAUCAGGAUAGAAAUAUUUCAUCAUAGUAUCAUAAAGUAAAGGUCAGUAAGAAGAACUUUGUGCUGAUUUGUAGUGAAGAUUACCUCUAAGGGGACAAGUGGAACCAAACCAUGGCAGAAAAAAGUGCUUCCUUACAGCAUAAUAGAGCCUUUAAUUUAUCACCCAUCUGUACUGACUGGCCUGCAGGUUUAUGUACUAAACCUCAAAUUGAGUAACUAAUGGAACGUUUUGAUAUUUUGAGAUGAAAUAACACAUCAUUCAGGUAAAAUAAGGCAAGAUGAUCUUUAUCUGUACACAAGAAGUUGAAUUGUAACACAGUAGCGUCUUGUAUAUAAUAGUAUACAGUCACCGUAUAAAAUAUAUGGGCAGACAUACAAAUGUGCAUAUAAAUAUAGUAUAUAAUAAAAUAGAAAUUUUCAUGUUUGUCGAUAACGCA